rnacentral:rRNA from 1 species
GAUGAACGCUGGCGGCGUGCCUAAUACAUGCAAGUCGAGCGAAAGGACGCGAAGCUUGUUUCUCUGACGUUAGCGGAGGACGGGUGAGAAACACGUGGAUAAUCCACCUAUCUUACUGGGAACACCUCGGGAAACGGGCGAUAACAGCGGAUAAUCUUCUGAACCGCAUGGUUCAAUAGAGAAAGUCGGUCUUGCUGUAUCUUAUAGAUGGAUCCGCGCUGCUUUAGAUAGUUGGUAAGGUAACGGCUUAUCAAGGCGACGAUGCAUAGCCGACCGGAGAGGGUGAUCGGCGACACUGGAGCUUGAACGCGGUCCAGGCUACUACGGGAGGGAGCAGUAGGGAAUCGUCGGCAGUGGUCGGAAGCCUGACGGAGCGACGCCGCGUGAGUGGUGAAAAUCUUCGGAGCGGAAAACUCUGUUAUUAGUUGAGAACAGAUGUGGAAUUAACUGAGCAGAGCGUGACAGUAACUAGUCAGGAAGCCACGGCUAACUACGUG